rnacentral:rRNA from 1 species
UGGGGAAUAUUGCGCAAUGGGGGAAACCCUGACGCAGCAACGCCGCGUGAGUGAGGAAGUAUCUCGGUAUGUAAAGCUCUAUCAGCGGGGAAGAAAGAGGACGGUACCCGACUAAGAAGCCCCGGCUAACUACGUGCCAGCAGCCGCGGUAAUACGUAGGGGGCGAGCGUUAUCCGGAUUUACUGGGUGUAAAGGGAGCGUAGACGGCGUCGCAAGUCUGAAGUGAAAGCCCGUGGCUCAACCGCGGAACCGCUUUGGAAACUGCGAGGCUGGAGUGCUGGAGAGGUAAGCGGAAUUCCUGGU